rnacentral:misc_RNA from 1 species
UUAAGUUCAGCGGGUAUCCCUACCUGAUCCGAGGUCAAACCUUGCUGGAGAAGGGUUUUACGGCGGGCGCCGCCGAGGCCCAGGAGCGUGCGUACAGUACUGCGCUCAGGGCCCGCGGCGGCUCCGCCACUGCGAUUCGGGGCCCUCGGCGAACCGGGGCGCCCCAACAACAAGCGAAGCUUGAGGUUUGAGAUGACGCU